rnacentral:rRNA from 1 species
UACGUAGGGGGCCAGCGUUGUCCGGAUUUACUGGGCGUAAAGAGCGCGUAGGCGGUUUUGUAAGCGGAGGGUGAAAUCCCGGGGCUCAACUCCGGGGCUGCUUUCCGAACUGCGAGACUAGAGUACGGGAGAGGGUAGUGGAAUUCCUGGUGUAGCGGUGGAAUGCGUAAAUAUCAGGAGGAACACCCGUGGCGAAGGCUGCUACCUGGAACGUUACUGACGCUGAGGCGCGAAAGCUAGGGGAGCGAACGGG